GAUGAAGAACGCAGCGAAAUGCGAUAAGUAGUGUGAAUUGCAGAAUUCAGUGAAUCAUCGAAUCUUUGAACGCACCUUGCGCUCCUUGGUAUUCCGAGGAGCAUGCCUGUUUGAGUGUCAUUAAAUUCUCAACCUCACCUGGUUUCUGACUUGUGUGAUGGCUUGGAUUUGGGAGUUGUGCAGGCUGUAGUUAUCUGCGGCUCUGCUCUCCUUAAAUGUAUUAGCAGGUCUUUUACCUCUAUCCCAACAGUGUGAUAAUCUAUCUACGCUGCUGGUUUGGAGACCCACUUGUGGGGGACUGGCUUCUAAUCGUCUGCAAAGACAACUUGACAUUCUUGACCUCAAAUCAGGUAGGACUACCCGCUGAACUUAAGCAUAUCAAUAAGCGGAGGA
rnacentral:misc_RNA from 1 species